AUAACAGUAUAAAAUAUCAGGUUGACAUACCUAGUAUGUCCUUUGAUUAAUUUUAAUCCCUCGGCUAAUUAAUGCUAUUUUUUGGCCUGCUAUCGCCUGUGUCAAUGAUUCUGUUAUUAUCAUUUUUAAAAUUGUUACAUUGGAUA